rnacentral:rRNA from 1 species
GAAGUAAAAGUCGUAACAAGGUUUCCGUAGGUGAACCUGCGGAAGGAUCAUUAUCGAAAUUAUAGGUGAGGGUUGUAGCUGGCCUCUCGGGGCAUGUGCACGCCCGAGCCCUUAAUCCACACACACCUGUGAACCUAUUGUAAGGGCCCUUAAAAAAGGCCUUUACGUCUUAUCAUCAACCCAUCGUAUGUCUCAUAGAAUGUAAAUAUAUGUCCUCGCCUUAAAAAGCGUUGAUAAACUUAUACAACUUUCAACAACGGAUCUCUUGGCUCUCGCAUCGAUGAAGAACGCAGCGAAAUGCGAUAAGUAAUGUGAAUUGCAGAUUUUCAGUGAAUCAUCGAAUCUUUGAACGCACCUUGCGCUCCUUGGUAUUCCGAGGAGCAUGCCUGUUUGAGUGUCAUUAAAUUCUCAACUCCGAUCGAUUUGUUUCGACUUCGGAGCUUGGAUUUGGAGCGUGCUGGCGUCGGUCGGCUCCUCUUAAAUGCAUCAGCGGAAUCUAACGUUUCGGACGUCAGUGUGAUAAUCAUGUUGCGCUGUCUGUCUGAUCCGAAAGCCCGCUCACAAUGGUCUUCGGACAACUUCAUAUCAAAUUUGACCUCAAAUCAGGUAGGACUACCCGCUGAACUUAAGCA